rnacentral:rRNA from 1 species
AGUGGGGAAUCUUGCACAAUGGGCGAAAGCCUGAUGCAGCAACGCCGCGUGCGGGAAGAAGGCCCUAGGGUUGUAAACCGCUUUCAGCAGGGAAGAAAAUGACGGUACCUGUAGAAGAAGGUGCGGCCAACUACGUGCCAGCAGCCGCGGUGACACGUAGGCACCAAGCGUUGUCCGGAUUUAUUGGGCGUAAAGAGCUCGUAGGCGGUUCGGUAAGUCGGGUGUGAAAACUCUGGGCUCAACCCAGAGCCGCCACCCGAUACUGCUGUGACUCGAGUGCGGUAGGGGAGCGGGGAAUUCCUGGUGUAGCGGUGAAAUGCGCAGAUAUCAGGAGGAACACCAGUGGCGAAGGCGCCGCUCUGGGCCGUGACUGACGCUGAGGAGCGAAAGCGUGGGUAGCAAA